GAUUAUUUAGUUUAUUAAAAACAGAUAUUUUGAAAAUAUCUAUAAAGAAUAUUUAACUUCUUAAUAAUCG
rnacentral:tRNA from 1 species